rnacentral:rRNA from 1 species
CAGUCGCCGCGGUAAUACAGAGGGUGCAAGCGUUAAUCGGAUUUACUGGGCGUAAAGGGCGCGUAGGUGGUUAUGUAAGUGAGAUGUGAAAUCCCCGGGCUCAACCUGGGAACUGCAUCUUAUACUGCGUAGCUGGAGUGCAGUAGAGGGUAGUGGAAUUUCCGGUGUAGCGGUGAAAUGCGUAGAUAUCGGAAGGAACACCAGUGGCGAAGGCGGCUACCUGGACUGACACUGACACUGAGGCGCGAAAGCGUGGGGAGCAAACAGGAUUAGAUACCCCUGUAGUCCCUGUCUCUUAUAC